rnacentral:rRNA from 1 species
AGCGAACGCUGGCGGCAGGCCUAACACAUGCAAGUCGAACGAACUCUUCGGAGUUAGUGGCGGACGGGUGAGUAACACGUGGGAACGUGCCUUUUGGUUCGGAAUAACUCAGGGAAACUUGUGCUAAUACCGAAUGUGCCCUUCGGGGGAAAGAUUUAUCGCCAUUGGAGCGGCCCGCGUCUGAUUCGCUAGUUGGUGAGGUAACGGCUCACCAAGGCGACGAUCAGUAGCUGGUCUGAGAGGAUGACCAGCCACACUGGGACUGAGACACGGCCCAGACUCCUACGGGAGGCAGGAGUGGGGAAUCUUGCGCAAGGGGCGAAAGCCUGACGCAGCCAUGCCGCGUGAAUGAUGAAGGUCUUAGGAUUGUAAAAUUCUUUCACCGGGGACGAUAAUGACGGUACCCGGAGAAGAAGCCCCGGCUAACUUCGUG